AUCGCUUCUCGGCUCUCUUGAGCUAAGAUCAAAAGUGUAGUAUCUGUUCUUAUCAGCUUAAUAUCUGAUACAAUCCCCAUAGGGGAUUCAGAAUAUUAAACUGAUUUUUGAAACCAGGCGGAUGGUACGGAGCUUGCUCCGUCUCUGCUAUGGGUCGACCCAACGUUGCAGUGAAGUUGGGAUUGGCCUGAUAAAU
rnacentral:snRNA from 1 species